ensembl:lncRNA
GAUCUCACUGGAGAACCCUGAGUGCCUGAGGCCUUCCAAAGAUUCUCUGUUGCUGCCUCUCACUCCUCAGCUCUCUGUUUUUGGGUAUUCCCUCUGUCAUCCCAGGAAAUCGUGCUCUCAUCCCAGUCUGCCGUUCUGCCAAAGCUCCUGGUGAGGAUAUGAAGGAAUUCAGGAUGACAGUUUCAGUGUCUUAUCCAAACAGACGUGUAUUGGAAAAGGACUAGAGAAAUGGUGACAGCAGAUUCAGGAUACUUUUCUCUUGGCGCUUUUUUGGAAUUACUCAAAGUAUUCUUGGGCUUUUCAACUACAAAUUCCACAAUAUAGUUUUAGAGUGUGGGAGCACAUUUUUCAUAUCUAUAGAUUACUCUUUCAACCUGACUAUUCCUGGUAGUAACUGCCAGCUACAGAGUCACGCAAAGGUUCUUUAGAGGCAGAUGUAAAGUAAAUUGAUAGACUCAGUCCAAUUUCUCUUGAAAAGGUGUCCAGAUCACAGAAAAGCCUGCCAUGAUUGGCACUAAUUGGCAGCCCUGCUGGUAGAUUCUGGAAUGCGAGUCUUGAAGACUCGUUGGAUAAAGACUAUGAAGUAAUGCGUUCACCUAGGUUCAGAAGUAACCCUUGCCUGUCGGGAGUGACAGAUGCUGGUGGGGUAGUGUAUGAACCUUUGCAAAUCCUUUCUUUUAGUUCCUGUUCUUCAUCCUUUCUGUGAUUUUGGUUUCUAGUGUUUCAGAGUAAUAAUUCUUAGAGAAACAAAAACCACUGCAAAAUUUAGUAAGAAGUCAAGUUGAUACUCGUGAAAUUUCAUACAAUAAGAAAAUGUCAGUGGAAGAGAUGAGGUAUUUUUCCUGUCAGUCAUACCUAGAGAGUGACUAUUUUGACUUCUGCCAGACCAGAGGAAUGCCAAAAUGUCUCAGUAUGGAGGGUGAGUUUAGCGAGGUGAAGUGAUGAUGACCCAUCUUCAGUAGAGGCUUUGCGAGGAAUGAAUCAAGAUGCCCUUCUGUUGAUUUAUUUAUUUAUUUAUUUUUCCCUCUGAAAGUCUUGGCAAGUUGCUAGAAAUACAGACUCCUGGUAAUUUUUAGAGGACUUUUUGACUACUUCAUUUUGUGUGCAUAUGUCAAAACCGUUUGCUUUGUUGUGGGGAUAAAAAAUGUGACUGAAAAACAAUCAGUUCUGUUCAAACAAAGCUUAAUACAAGCUUCUGCAUCGGAUUGUGGGCACUUGUCAUACAGAUCUGGUAUAUCUGAUCAUCAGCAACAGCUCCUGUCUACAAUUCCUUACUUCUUCUCUUUGGACUUCUGGCUCUCACAAUGGAAAUUAAUUUAAAAGAAAUUAAAGAAAGAU